rnacentral:rRNA from 1 species
GACGAACGCUGGCGGCGUGCUUAACACAUGCAAGUCGAGCGAAGAAGCACCUUCGGGUGUGAAUUAGCGGCGAACGGGUGAGGAACACGUGAGAAAUCUGCCUUCAACACUGGGAUAACUCCGGGAAACCGGGGCUAAUACCGGAUAUGAAACCUGCGGGCAUCCGCGGGUUUGGAAAGUUUUUCGGUUGAAGAUGAUCUCGCGGCCUAUCAGCUUGUUGGUGAGGUAAUGGCUCACCAAGGCGACGACGGGUAGUCGGCCUGAGAGGGCGACCGGCCACACUGGGACUGAGACACGGCCCAGACUCCUACGGGAGGCAGCAGUGGGGAAUAUUGGGCAAUGGAGGAAACUCUGACCCAGCGACGCCGCGUGCGGGAUGAAGGCCUUCGGGUUGUAAACCGCUUUCAGCAGGGAAGAAGCGAAAGUGACGGUACCUGCAGAAGAAGCACCGGCUAACUAUGUGCCAGCAGCCGCAGUAA